rnacentral:rRNA from 1 species
CCUACGGGAGGCAGCAGUGAGGAAUAUUGGUCAAUGGGCGAGAGCCUGAACCAGCCAAGUAGCGUGAGGGAAGACGGUCCUAUGGAUUGUAAACCUCUUUUGCCGAGGAGCAAAAAGCGGUACGUGUACCGCAUCGAGAGUACCCGAAGAAAAAGCAUCGGCUAACUCCGUGCCAGCAGCCGCGGUAAUACGGAGGAUGCGAGCGUUAUCCGGAUUUAUUGGGUUUAAAGGGAGCGCAGGCGGCGGGUUAAGUCAGCCGUAAAAAUUUGGGGCUCAACCCCAGACAAGCCGUUGAAACUGGCUUGCUAGAGUGGGCGAGAGGUAUGCGGAAUGCGUGGUGUAGCGGUGAAAUGCAUAGAUAUCACGAAGAACUCCGAUUGCGAAGGCAGCAUACCGGCGCCCCACUGACGCUCAGGCACGAAAGCGUGGGUAUCGAACAGGAUUAGAUACCCCUGUAGUC